rnacentral:snRNA from 14 species
AUAAGCUCUGCUGUGAUCAGCUUGCCAGGUGAUUUUGCCAGAGUGAGCCUCACCCACUGUGCUCUGGAGUGCAGACCCCUGUGUUUUCCCUAAAUGUGGAAAACUCGGGGCGUGUAACUUGUGGUAGUGGGAACUGCUUUCCCU